rnacentral:rRNA from 1 species
GAUGAACGCUGGCGGCGUGCCUAAUACAUGCAAGUCGAGCGAACAGAUGAGGAGCUUGCUCCUCUGACGUUAGCGGCGGACGGGUGAGUAACACGUGGAUAACCUACCUAUAAGACUGGGAUAACUUCGGGAAACCGGAGCUAAUACCGGAUAAUAUAUUGAACCGCAUGGUUCAAUAGUGAAAGACGGUUUUGCUGUCACUUAUAGAUGGAUCCGUGCCGCAUUAGCUAGUUGGUAAGGUAACGGCUUACCAAGGCAACGAUGCGUAGCCGACCUGAGAGGGUGAUCGGCCACACUGGAACUGAGACACGGUCCAGACUCCUACGGGAGGCAGCAGUAGGGAAUCUUCCGCAAUGGGCGAAAGCCUGACGGAGCAACGCCGCGUGAGUGAUGAAGGUCUUCGGAUCGUAAAACUCUGUUAUUAGGGAAGAACAAAUGUGUAAGUAACUAUGCACGUCUUGACGGUACCGAAUCAGAAAGCCACGGCUAACUACGU